ACCAAAAAAUGGUCACAGUUCUCAUUGCUUCAUUUCCACUUUAAGAUGUAACUAAAUACAUUUUCAACCGUUUACCUUUGUUCAAACCAUUUAACAAAACUACAUAUUUGUAUCUUGUUACGUAUUUUAGGAACACAAGCUGUAUUUCCCUCACUUAACCAAUAGGGGGUAGGACCAAAUAUAUAAGCCGUAAAUACUACACAUAGCCACAAGGGAAAGCAGGACAUUACUGAAGGCUGCAAUAGAUACUUUAGCCACAGAGGGCAGCAUCACAGACCAGGCGAGGAAAACCGAGGAUUACGUCACACCGGUUCCUCUCUCAAGUCUUCCGGUCCUCGCUGAGUCCAUAAAGAAGACCACCUGGCCACAAAAACCUUAGAACUCUCCCGGCAGCGAUUACCAUACGUGGGUUUGUGGUUAGGAUCAGCUAGGAGAACACUCUCGCACGUGCUUAGAACACAUCUUCAAUCUCUCUUUACUUCAGAGCAUCAGUUUACCAUACCGAAAAUACUUUAUACAAAUAAAGUCUCUUUAAAGCUAUUCCUUUGGAUUCGACCCCUCCUUCCAUGAAGAAAUACGUAAUAAUUGGUGACCCGGACGAUUCUUGGAAGGUUCCGGACCGAGACCAGCGGCCGCGGGGCCGUCGGGAGCAGUACAAGCUACUUACAGGCGCCACAAGAAAGGCCACCUGUUGCUGACACGACGACGGAGAACCUGUGAGGAGGCUCCCAUGGUGUAGGAGUAACCUCUCUGAGAUGAGCCCUUGACAAGGAGGGACGAGUCUUGGGUUCAUGAAUUACAAACCCGACGGCGACAGUAAAAACAAUGACUACAAUAAUAACAUCGCCCAAAACCACCCACAGGAACCUGCACACCAAUACACGAAGAUCACUUGAACUCCCCAAAUCCAUGCCCAAACCACCCACAUGAACCGGCGCACCAAAACACGAAGAUCACCUGAACCCCCCAAAUCCAUGUUAGUUUAUCAAUCAUUUUGAAAUUUUAAAAUUGUGUUAUGACCACCAAUUUUUACGUUACUUUUGCACCUGUUGAAUAUUUUAUGACCUUGUUGCACAUAACCAAAAAGUAUUAGCUCAGGAUUUCUAUGGAUAGUUUUGUUUGUGUGCUGUUUGGCCAUGUGAUUGUAUGAUAACAAGAUUCAUGUU
rnacentral:lncRNA from 1 species